rnacentral:miRNA from 1 species
GCUCAUUCUAGGACGUUUUA